rnacentral:tRNA from 1 species
GUCUGGGUAGCUCAGUGGUAGAGCGAUGGGUUGAAGACCCAUGCGCCGAGGGUUCGAUCCCCUCCCUAGACACCA